rnacentral:rRNA from 1 species
AUCGAACGCUGGCGGCACGUUUUAAGCAUGCAAGUCGAAUGGCAGCAGGGGCAACUCUGUGAGAAUGGCGAACGGGUGAGUAACACGUAGGUGAUCUGCCUUGAGGGUGGGGAUAGCCUGUGGAAACACAGGGUAAUACCGAAUGAGCUGACGAGACUUUGGUUUUGUUAGUAAAGGUGCUACGGCACCGCCUUGAGAGGAGCCUGCGGCUGAUUAGCUAGUUGGUGGGGUAAGAGCUUACCAAGGCGACGAUCAGUAGCCGGCCUGAGAGGGUGUACGGCCACACUGGAACUGAGACACGGUCCAGACUCCUACGGGAGGCAGCAGCUAAGAAUCUUCCGCAAUGGGCGAAAGCCUGACGGAGCGAUGCCGCGUGAUCGAUGAAGGUCGAGAGAUUGUAAAGAUCUUUUCUACAUGAGGAAUAAGUCUGGGAGGGAAUGCCCGGAUGAUGACGUUAGUGUAGGAAUAAGCCCCGGCUAAUUACGUGCCAGCCGCCGCAGUAA